rnacentral:misc_RNA from 1 species
GUGAAUCAUCGAAUCUUUGAACGCAAAUUGCACUCUCUGGUAUUCCGGAGAGUAUGUCUGUUUGAGGGUCAGUUUAAAUAAAAAUCGGUGUGGUUGCUGCCUUUCUUGGUGACGCACCGGAUUUGGGUCGUCUUGCCUUCGGUUAAGUCAUCUAAAAUUUUGUUUGAUUUUUUCGAACAUAUUUAAAUGAUUUUACGUAUGUUUGCGAUAUCGAUUACUUGGUGUGGUCAUUCUCCU